GGUGUAAAAUAUAUUACUACCUUCGUCUCAAAAUAUAACAACUUUUAGUUCGAUGUCACAUAUCCUAGUACUACGAAUCUGGACAGGUCACUAGGAUAUAUCACAUCCACCAAAAAAUUGCUACAGUUUUGGACGGAGGGAGUAAUAUUGAUUACUUGUG
rnacentral:misc_RNA from 1 species